UUAGCAAUUUUUUGGAGAAUUUGUUUAAUUUUUUCAAUAUCUAGAUGAAAACUUACCCAGCUGCUGUUGAUUUUUAAGGGCCUGUCAAUAAGAAUUUUAAUAAGUUCUAGUUCAUAAUUAAUAUUACACAGGCUAGUAAAAUUAGUCAGUAAGCGUGUAUACAUUUUUAAAUAAAUUGUUGAAGUAUUAAAUUAUUUUACAUAGUUAAUCUUUGUAUUUAGAAAGUUGGCGAUCAACUUCUUCCUCUUUAGUGAACUUAAGAUUCAUGUAAAUAUCUAUAACUGCAGUAGCAAUUAAAUAUAAGUUGUCAAGACAUCAGUGGUGGAAAGAAACGAAUUACAUUUACUCGCGUUACUUUAAUUGAGUAGUUUUUUGUGAACUUUUACUUUAUUUUUUAAUGUGUACUUUUACUUUUAGUUAAGAAUAUAUUUUUUAAUGUA